rnacentral:rRNA from 1 species
UACGUAGGGUCCGAGCGUUGUCCGGAAUUAUUGGGCGUAAAGGGCUCGUAGGCGGUUUGUCGCGUCGGGAGUGAAAACACGGGGCUUAACCCCGUGCCUGCUUCCGAUACGGGCAGACUAGAGGUAUGCAGGGGAGAACGGAAUUCCUGGUGUAGCGGUGAAAUGCGUAGAUAUCGGGAGGAACACCAGUGGCGAAGGCGGCUUCCUGGCCUGUUCUUGACGCUGAGGCGCGAAAGCUAGGGGAGCAAACGGG